GCCCGGCUAGCUCAAUCGGUAGAGCGUGAGACUCUUACAAACAGGAUGAUAUAUCAUCUGGGUUCAUCUCAAGGCUGUGGGUUCGACCCCCACGUCGGGCU
rnacentral:tRNA from 1 species